ACGCCAGCUAAUCCGAGGCUGCGGCAAAGAUAAUUCCCGACGUAUUCCAGGAUUAUUUGCUGCGGCUUUGGAUUAUUUGGCG